AACGAACGCUGGCGGCAGGCUUAACACAUGCAAGUCGAACGCCCCGCAAGGGGAGUGGCAGACGGGUGAGUAACGCGUGGGAAUCUACCCAGAUCUUCGGAACAACACAGGGAAACUUGUGCUAAUACCGGAUACGCCCUACGGGGGAAAGAUUUAUCGGAUUUGGAUGAGCCCGCGUCGGAUUAGCUAGUUGGUGAGGUAAUGGCUCACCAAGGCUACGAUCCAUAGCUGGUCUGAGAGGAUGAUCAGCCACACUGGGACUGAGACACGGCCCAGACUCCUACGGGAGGCAGCAGUGGGGAAUAUUGGACAAUGGGCGAAAGCCUGAUCCAGCCAUGCCGCGUGAGUGAUGAAGGCCUUAGGGUUGUAAAGCUCUUUUAGUGGGGAAGAUAAUGACGGUACCCACAGAAAAAGCCCCGGCUAACUUCGUGCCAGCCGCCGCGGUAAUAC
rnacentral:rRNA from 1 species